AGAGUUUGAUCCUGGCUCAGAACGUACGCUGGCGGCACGCCUAACACAUGCAAGUCGAACGAAGUAGCAAUACUUAGUGGCAGACGGGUGAGUAACAUGUAGGUAUCUGCCCUUUGGCCUGGAAUAACACGAGGAAACUUGUGCUAAUACUGGAUAAGUCUUUACGGAGAAAGCUUUAUGCACCAUUGGAUGAGCCUGCACUUGAUUAGUUUGUUGGUAGGGUAAUGGCCUACCAAGACUUUGAUCAAUAGCUGAUUUGAGAGGAUGAUCAGCCACAUUGGGACUGAGACACGGCCCAAACUCCUACGGGAGGCAGCAGUGGGGAAUCUUGCACAAUGGAGGAAACUCUGAUGCAGCGAUGCCGCGUGAGUGAAGAAGGCCCUUGGGUUGUAAAGCUCUUUCGUCGGGGAAGAAAAUGACUGUACCCGAAUAAGAAGGUCCGGCUAACUUCGUGCCAGCAGCCGCGGUAAUACGAAGGGACCUAGCGUAGUUCGGAAUUACUGGGCUUAAAGAGUUCGUAGGUGGUUGAAAAAGUUGGUGGUGAAAUCCCAGAGCUUAACUCUGGAACUGCCAUCAAAACUUUUCAGCUAGAGUUGAUAGAGGAAAGCAGAAUUUCUAGUGUAGAGGUGAAAUUCGUAGAUAUUAGAAAGAAUACCAAUUGCGAAGGCAGCUUUCUGGAUCAUUACUGACACUGAGGAACGAAAGCAUGGGUAGCGAAGAGGAUUAGAUACCCUCGUAGUCCAUGCCGUAAACGAUGUGUGUUAGACGUUGGAAAUUUAUUUUCAGUGUCGCAGCGAAAGCGAUAAACACACCGCCUGGGGAGUACGACCGCAAGGUUAAAACUCAAAUGAAUUGACGGGGACCCGCACAAGUAGUGGAGCAUGUGGUUUAAUUCGAAGAUACGCGCAGAACCUUACCAACACUUGACAUGUUCGUCGCGACUUUAAGAGAUUAAAGUUUUCGGUUCGGCCGGACGAAACACAGGUGCUGCAUGGCUGUCGUCAGCUCGUGUCGUGAGAUGUUGGGUUAAGUCCCGCAACGAGCGCAACCCUCACUUUUAGUUGCCAUCAUUAAGUUGGGCACUCUGAAAGAACUGCCAGUGAUAAGCUGGAGGAAGGUGGGGAUGACGUCAAGUCCUCAUGGCCCUUACGUGUUGGGCUACACACGUGCUACAAUGGUAUCUACAACAGGAAGCGAAACGGCGACGUUAAGCAAAUCCUUAAAAGAUACCUCAGUUCGGAUUGUACUCUGCAACUCGAGUACAUGAAGCUGGAAUUACUAGUAAUCGUGGAUCAGCGUGCCACGGUGAAUGCGUUCCCGGGUCUUGUACACACCGCCCGUCACACCAUGGGAGUUGGUUCUACCUUAAGGCAAGGUUUAAAACCCUUGACCACGGUAUAGUCGGCGACUGGGGUGAAGUCAUAACAAGGUAGCCGUA
rnacentral:rRNA from 1 species